AGAGUUUGAUCCUGGCUCAGAAUGAACGCUGGCGGCGUGUUUAAGACAUGCAAGUCGAACGGAGUAACAUGAGUAGUAAUACAAGUGUUGCUCAGUGGCGCACGGGUGCGUAACACGUGAGUUACAUGCCCUGCAGAGAGGGAUAGCCCAGGGAAACUUGGAUUAAUACCUCAUGGUCUCGCAAGAGUAAAGAUGGCCGUAAGGCUGUCGCUGCAGGAUUGGCCCGCGGCCUAUCAGCUAGUUGGUGAGGUAACGGCUCACCAAGGCUACGACGGGUACCUGGUCUGAGAGGACGAUCAGGCACACUGGAACUGAGACACGGUCCAGACACCUACGGGUGGCAGCAGUCGAGAAUCAUUCACAAUGGGGGCAACCCUGAUGGUGCAACGCCGCGUGGAGGAAGAAGGUCUUCGGAUUGUAAACUCCUGUCAUCUAGGAGCAAGGCAUGGUGGUAAAUAGCCAACAUGAUUGAUAGUACUAGAAGAGGAAGGGACGGCUAACUUCGUGCCAGCAGCCGCGGUAAUACGAAGGUCCCGAGCGUUAUUCGGAAUCACUGGGCGUAAAGGGAGCGUAGGCGGCGUGGAAAGUCAGAUGUGAAAUCCCAGAGCUCAACUCUGGAACUGCAUCCGAUACUACCAUGCUAGAGUAUUGGAGGGGUAACUGGAAUUCUCGGUGUAGCAGUGAAAUGCGUAGAUAUCGAGAGGAACACUCGUGGCGAAAGCGAGUUACUGGACAAUUACUGACGCUGAGGCUCGAAGGCUAGGGGAGCAAAAGGGAUUAGAUACCCCUGUAGUCCUAGC
rnacentral:rRNA from 1 species